rnacentral:lncRNA from 1 species
GCUAGUGAACCUGUAUAAUCGUAUAGCUUUCUUGUAAGCAUCGAAUGCUGCAAUGUAUUCUACUUCAUAAUUUGAAUUUGGCUAUAUUUUUUUGUUUGAAAUCUUUUCAGCAGAUUGCUUCAUUAUUUAGGAUAAAGAUAUAUUCCGAUACAUUCUUGUUAUUAUUAUAUUCAACUAAAAAUUAGAGUCAUACUCCACAAAUUUUAAGUCAGAUUCUCCAUAACCGAGUCACCGGUCCUUAGUAUUUCUCAAAUACUUAAGGA